CCUACGUGAGGCAGCAGUGAGGAAUAUUGGUCAAUGGACGCAAGUCUGAACCAGCCAUGCCGCGUGCAGGAAGACGGCUCUAUGAGUUGUAAACUGCUUUUGUACGAGGGUAAACGCAGAUACGCGUGUCUGUCUGAAAGUAUCUGACGAAUAAGGAUCGGCUAACUCCGUGCCAGCAGCCGCGGUAAUACGGAGGAUUCAAGCGUUAUCCGGAUUUAUUGGGUUUACAGGGUGCGUAGGCGGUCGGAUAAGUUAGAGGUGAAAUCCCGAGGCUCAACUUCGGAAUUGCCUCGGAUACUGUUCGGCUAGAGAGUAGUUGCAGUAUGCGGAAUGUAUGGUGUAGCGGUGAAAUGCUUAGAGAUCAUACAGAACACCGAUUGCGAAGGCAGCUUACCAAGCUACUUCUGACGUUGAGGCACGAAAGCGUGGGGAGCAAACAGGAUUAGAUACCCUUGUAGUC
rnacentral:rRNA from 1 species